CAAGAGUCGACAAUGUUUCCUUUUACUUGUAACAAAUUGAGGUCACUUUUAGCUAAAUCAAGUAUAUCCAGAACCAUUGAAUCUCCAAUGAAUUCAACCUUUACAUUGAAAAUUUCCACCCCAAAGGAAACACAGAGUUUAUCAGAUGAUGAAGAUAUUUCAAGAUGACAAGCGACUCUUUCCACCUUUUGUCUUUGCUUCUUUCUAUUCAUUCAUUCAGUCCGAAAUUUCAUCCCACCCUCUUUGAUGGGUGAUCAUUGGUAUGGUUGGUCAAGCAAAUCGUAAUUCAUCUUGUGACAGCAGAAAAAAAAAUUCGUAGAAAGAGAAAAAAAAGUCUUUCUUUCAAUUUACUUUCAUUUUUUUUCUCUUCCUCAUCUUUUUUUUAUUACCUUGUGCUUUUUACUUUCCAUCUUCAUCUUUCUUUUAUUCUUUACACAGGAGAAGAUUUCUUGAAGAUACUUUGAUUUUUUCCCAUUCUACUGAUGAUGAUGAUGAUGUUAAUGCUUCUUCCACUUUCAAGUGAUGAUGAUAAAAGUAAUAAUGUUCAACUUACCUUCCUAAGGCAGCCAAUGAAGUUGCUUUGUACCCUUGAGCCCGGAAGUUGUUCAAAAUGGUCACUUCCUCCGAUAAAAAGUAUUGAACUGGACAAUAGGGAAAAUGAACCUGUAGUUGAACCUCUUUCCGUGUAAACACCAUCAAUGGUUAUUGAAAACUGGAAAUAUAUACAAAUGAAAAGAAAGAAAAAGGAAUGGAAAGAAUGAGAAAAACAGGAAAGAUGAAGAUGAAUAUAAAUAUGAAGAAAAGGAUGACAUCGAUACAAGAGAAGAAAAAAAAAUAGAUGAACAAGAAUAAGAAGAAAAAAAUGGAAAGCACAAUGAAGAUAAAUGCCAAUAAUGAGAAGGAGCAGAAAAAGCAAAAAGCCACGAGGAUGGAAAAGCAAUAGAAGAUGAUAUCUUUGAAUCUCUCGAAAUGAGGAAUCACAAAGAUGAUAAAAGAAUCCAAUAGAAAAGCAAACAAGGGAAAAAAGGAAAAGGAAAAGAUGAAGAAGAAAAAGUUAAAUCUUCUACCGAUAUUAUAUUGUAUUCGUCAUAUAAAGUUUCCCUAGAUGAAUGAAAAUCACGAUUAAGAUAUCAUUGAGAAAGAGAGAACAAUUGAAAUGUGAUGACAGACAAUGGAAAACAAGGAUGAGAAGAUGAGGAAGACAAAAAAAAUGAAGAAAACAAGACAAAAAAAGACAGAAAAAGACAGAGAAACUAAAAAAUAUUAAGCUUCAAGCUAUUACAUUUUGAUCAAUACAAUGAUGAUAUUAUCAAGCAAAAUGAGCAGUAACUUUCAUCAAGCAUCAUCUUCAUCUUCAUCGUCAUCAUCAUCAUCAUCAUCACAAUCAUGAUGAAAGUAAAGAGCUGAAAGAAACAAAAGUUAUCAUCAUCAACAGGAAAGGAAAGUGAUAUAUAUCAUAACACAAUAAUUGAAUAACAUGGUGAUAGUGAUACAAUUUAAUACAAUGAUCAACAGCAAUAGGAAAUGCAAAAUGUUUUCAUCAAUCAAUAACAAAUCAAUACAUAUAAAUAUACAAACAUACUCUUAGAUAAUACAUUAUAUAUGGUGAACCAUUGGCUAAUAAUCACUAUAAUCAAUGUAAUAAUAGUAAUGAUGAUGAUAAUAACUGUAAUCAUUAUAAUGUUAUUGUGGUUUCAUAUUAAUACAAUAGGCAAUGAGUGAGGAUGAAUGAAAGAGUAAAUUGUGAUUUUCUCUCGUUUUUUUUUUAUUAAUCUAAUUCCUUUUUGUUUUAUUAGCGUGAAUUAAAGUAAUUUACUGAUUAACUUAA